GGCCCAAUAGCAUAACGGUUAUUGCAUCGCGCAUUCCUAGUUCUGCGUGGAUGAAUUAAUGCGAAGGUCGCAGGUUCAACUCCUGCUUGGGCUC